rnacentral:tRNA from 1 species
UAGCUCAGUUGGUAGAGCAACGUGUUUGCAACGCCAGGGUUGUGGGUUCGAUUCCCAC